GCGGGUAUAGCUUAAUGGUAAAGCUCCUGCCUUCCAAGCAGAUUAUGUCGGUUCGAUUCCGUCUACCCGCUCCA
rnacentral:tRNA from 1 species